rnacentral:rRNA from 1 species
UACGUAGGGUGCAAGCGUUUAAUCGGAAUUACUGGGCGUAAAGCGUGCGCAGGCGGCUAUGUAAGACAGAUGUGAAAUGCCCGGGCUUAACCUGGGAACUGCAUUUGUGACUGCAUGGCUAGAGUGUGUCAGAGGGGGGUAGAAUUCCACGUGUAGCAGUGAAAAUGCGUAGAUAUGUGGAGGAAUACCGAUGGCGAAGGCAGCCCCCCUGGGAUAACACUGACGCUCAUGCACGAAAGCGUGGGGAGCAAACAGG